rnacentral:rRNA from 1 species
AUUGAACGCUGGCGGCAGGCCUAACACAUGCAAGUCGAGCGGAUGAAGGGAGCUUGCUCCUGGAUUCAGCGGCGGACGGGUGAGUAAUGCCUAGGAAUCUGCCUGGUAGUGGGGGAUAACGUCCGGAAACGGGCGCUAAUACCGCAUACGUCCUGAGGGAGAAAGUGGGGGAUCUUCGGACCUCACGCUAUCAGAUGAGCCUAGGUCGGAUUAGCUAGUUGGUGGGGUAAAGGCCUACCAAGGCGACGACCCGUAACUGGUCUGAGAGGAUGAUCAGUCACACUGGAACUGAGACACGGUCCAGACUCCUACGGGAGGCAGCAGUGGGGAAUAUUGGACAAUGGGCGAAAGCCUGAUCCAGCCAUGCCGCGUGUGUGAAGAAGGUCUUCGGAUUGUAAAGCACUUUAAGUUGGGAGGAAGGGCAGUAAGUUAAUACCUUGCUGUUUUGACGUUACCAACAGAAUAAGCACCGGCUAACCUCGUG